UACAGAGGGUGCGAGCGUUAAUCGGAUUUACUGGGCAUAAAGCGUGCGUAGGCGGCUUUUUAAGUCGGAUGUGAAAUCCCUGAGCUUAACUUAGGAAUUGCAUUCGAUACUGGGAAGCUAGAGUAUGGGAGAGGAUGGUAGAAUUCCAGGUGUAGCGGUGAAAUGCGUAGAGAUCUGGAGGAAUACCGAUGGCGAAGGCAGCCAUCUGGCCUAAUACUGACGCUGAGGUACGAAAGCAUGGGGAGCAAACAGG
rnacentral:rRNA from 1 species